AGAAUGAACGCUGGCGGCAUGCCUAACACAUGCAAGUCGAACGAAUUACCUUCGGGUAGUUAGUGGCGCACGGGUGCGUAACGCGUGGGAAUCUGCCCCUUGGUUCGGAAUAACAGCGAGAAAUUGCUGCUAAUACCGGAUGAUGACGUAAGUCCAAAGAUUUAUCGCCAAGGGAUGAGCCCGCGUAGGAUUAGGUAGUUGGUGUGGUAAAGGCGCACCAAGCCGACGAUCCUUAGCUGGUCUGAGAGGAUGAUCAGCCACACUGGGACUGAGACACGGCCCAGACUCCUACGGGAGGCAGCAGUGGGGAAUAUUGGACAAUGGGCGAAAGCCUGAUCCAGCAAUGCCGCGUGAGUGAUGAAGGCCUUAGGGUUGUAAAGCUCUUUUACCCGGGAUGAUAAUGACAGUACCGGAGAAUAAGCUCCGGCUAACUCCGUGCCAGCAGCCGC
rnacentral:rRNA from 1 species